AACUUUUGACAAUGGAUCUCUUGGCUCUCGCAUCGAUGAAGAACGCAGCGAAAGGCGAUAAGUAAUGUGAAUUGCGGAUUUUCAGUGAAUCAUCGAAUCUUUGAACGCACCUUGCGCCCCUUGGUAUUCCGAGGGGCAUGCCUGUUUGAGUGUCAUUAAAUCCUCAACUCCAUUUGAUUUGUUUCAAACGUGGAGCUUGGACUUGGAGUGUGCUGGCGUCAACCGUCGGCUCCUCUCAAAUGCAUCGGCGGAAUUGAACCUUUUGACCUCCGGAAUGUCAGUGUGAUAAUUAACGUUGCGCUGUCGACCGGGGUUGGAGUCCGCUUACAAUCGUCCUCGGACAACUUAUCAAAUUUGACCUCACAUCAGGUAGGACUACCCGCUGAACUUAAGCAUAUCAAUAAGCGGAGGCU
rnacentral:misc_RNA from 1 species